rnacentral:lncRNA from 1 species
UUUGGGGAGGAAUUCUCUACCUAGAGGAGUCACUGCCCUUUGACCAACCCAGUGGCCACUUCAACUGGCCAUCACAGUAACCACUAUGAUUAACCAUCACACUGAACUCUACAACUGACCGCUACAGUGACCAUUAUGAUCACUAUGGCUGACCGCAUCAAUGACUACCAGAGUGACCGCUAUGGCUGACUAUCCAAGCGGGCACUACAACUGACUUCCAUAGUGACUGACUAAGACUGACCACCACAGGGACUGACUGACCAUUCCAGUGAUCACCAUAGCUGACCACAUCAAUGACCACCACAGUGAACACUAUUGUUGACAACUGUAGUGAACAUCACAACUAAGUGCCUGUCUACUAUUGAUGUGGCUAAGGAAGGUACCCAGGCCUUAGCUCUUCCAUGAUCUCAUGCAGGCACAAAAGCCCACCCACUCGCAAGAAGUUCAAUAGAAAAGAACAGAAGAAAAAAAUCUACAUUUUGCACUCUACGAGAUAACUGGUACACAAUCAUCAUUACACUGUCAGAUGUUUCUGACAUUUUAAGUCAGAGUCAAAGCUAGCUACUUCCUUGGAAACUAAAUAAAAUGUCAAUAAAUUCAACUUUGGGGUGGAGGUCUCUCUGUUGAGUGGAUAUGUCCAUAAAGGGAAGUGUAGUUGAGCAAUUUCUUGGCUCAUCACAUCAUGGUAAUGUCAGGAUUCCUAGCUGCAAGCCAUGGAAGCUGAGUCUGAUUAAGCAGGAAGAGAAUUCACUAAAGGAGUUCAUAGUGCAUUGCUCUCUGAACUAUUGGGAGAGGUGGGGCUUUAGUCUAAGAGUCCGAGAUGAUUAAACCCAAAGCUGCUCUGUGGGACUCUCCUGCUCAUGGACGAUGCCAACUCCUUGGUUCUGCCCUGUCCCUGGCAACCUCAGAAGCACCCACAUCAAUCAGCAACAGAAAUUCCACUCACAGACUCCUCUUCGAUCACCCGUUUCUAGACAAGUCCCAAGUGAGCAACUGGAAUAGAGGAUCUUCUCCUUCAUCCUAGAUACCAAGAAAGCUGAGGGAUGACAAGUCAAAGUUUUCUUUCUCAAGAACCUAUGGGGUUGAGUAUUCUCCAAAUACAGCAAUGACUCAAAAAAGACUCUUAAAACC